rnacentral:rRNA from 1 species
UACGUAGGGGGGCUAGCGUUGUCCGGAAUCAUUGGGCGUAAAGAGCGCGUAGGCGGCCAGAUAAGUCCGGUGUGAAAGUCAAAGGCUCAACCUUUGAAUGCCGCUGGAAACUGUCUGGCUAGAGUCCGGGAGGGGCGAGUGGAAUUCCUGGUGUAGCGGUGAAAUGCGCAGAUAUCAGGAGGAACACCGGUGGCGAAGGCGGGUCUCUGGGCCGUAACUGACGCUGAGGAGCGAAAGCGUGGGGAGCGAACAGGG